rnacentral:tRNA from 1 species
GCUAGCAACCCAAGGUGGGUAGUUACAUUUCGGCUGUUAUUAAGAAGAUUAUUCUUCUGCUAGUU